rnacentral:piRNA from 1 species
UCCAUUAGACGGGAUGGUUCAAAAUGAGU